rnacentral:rRNA from 1 species
UGGGGAAUAUUGCACAAUGGGGGAAACCCUGAUGCAGCGACGCCGCGUGAAGGAAGAAGUAUCUCGGUAUGUAAACUUCUAUCAGCAGGGAAGAUAGUGACGGUACCUGACUAAGAAGCCCCGGCUAACCACGUGCC